ACCGAAUGCUUGCAUUCACCGUAAGAAGUUGAGUGGCGGACGGGUGAGUAACACGUGGGUAACCUGCCUAAAAGAAGGGGAUAACACUUGGAAACAGGUGCUAAUACCGUAUAUCUCUAAGGAUCGCAUGAUUCUUAGAUGAAAGAUGGUUCUGCUAUCGCUUUUAGAUGGACCCGCGGCGUAUUAACUAGUUGGUGGGGUAACGGCCUACCAAGGUGAUGAUACGUAGCCGAACUGAGAGGUUGAUCGGCCACAUUGGGACUGAGACACGGCCCAAACUCCUACGGGAGGCAGCAGUAGGGAAUCUUCCACAAUGGACGCAAGUCUGAUGGAGCAACGCCGCGUGAGUGAAGAAGGUCUUCGGAUCGUAAAACUCUGUUGUUAGAGAAGAACACGAGUGAGAGUAACUGUUCAUUCGAUGACGGUAUCUAACCAGCAAGUCACGGCUAACUACGUGCCAGCAGCCGCGGUAAUACGUAGGUGGCAAGCGUUGUCCGGAUUUAUUGGGCGUAAAGGGAACGCAGGCGGUCUUUUAAGUCUGAUGUGAAGCCUUCGGCUUAACCGGAGUAGUGCAUUGGAACUGGAAGACUUGAGUGCAGAAGAGGAGAGUGGACUCCAUGUGUAGCGGUGAAAUGCGUAGAUAUAU
rnacentral:rRNA from 1 species